rnacentral:rRNA from 1 species
CGAAAGCCUGACGGAGCAACGCCGCGUGGGGGAAGAAGGUUCUUGGAUUGUAAACCCCUUUUCUCAGGGAAGAAAACUGACGGUACCUGAGGAAUAAGCCUCGGCUAACUCCGUGCCAGCAGCCGCGGUAAUACGGAGGAGGCAAGCGUUAUCCGGAAUUAUUGGGCGUAAAGCGUCUGCAGGUGGCAAUUCAAGUCUGCUGUCAAAGCACGGGGCUUAACUCCGUUAAGGCAGUGGAAACUGAAUAGCUAGAGUGCCGUAGGGGUAGAGGGAAUUCCCGGUGUAGCGGUGAAAUGCGUAGAGAUCGGGAAGAACAUCGGUGGCGAAAGCGCUCUACUGGACGGCAACUGACACUCAGGGACGAAAGCUAGGGGAGCG